AGUUUUAAACUGAUGGUCUACUAUCUGGAAAACCCCAAAUCUGGAAUCACGGAAGUCCCGACGAGUUCGGAUCUCGCACUUUGUACUGUUAAACCAAUGGAUAGAGCAUAUUUUACCAUUUAUUACCUUAAAGCUUCCAACUCCAGAAGACCGCCCACCUCCAUACUUUGAAUACGAUAAUUGUUCAUAUUCUUUGUGGCAAGAACCUAGUACCGUUAAGAAUUCUCAAGUUACACAGCAAAAUUCGUUUCCUUAUUCACAGUCUUUUACAUCACUUCAUCGCUCUGGUUUCUACUCUGUGCAAACUCCUGCUAAGAAAUCUGUAUCUGCUGAUUUAGUUCCUGUUAUCUCUGAGCCCAAAGCUUCAGAAGAUGGUAAAGUCACUCCUGAAGAAUCAACAGAGCAUAAGCACUGUUGUUAUUGGUGUUCUCUUAGUUGUGCAUGGUUUUGUAAAGUUCUUGGUACAUGUAUGCAUCAGUGUUGCAGUAAUUUUACUUUAACAAUUUAGUGCUUUUCAGGGUGAGAUAUUUUAGAAGCACUGUUUUAACUGUUAAAAUUAAUUUUGUAUAGAAAGUGUUAUGUAUUUUGAUUGCUUAUACUCAUUUGCACAAUUUAUGUAAAUACUACUGAAUUUUGUUGUUUCCUAUGUAUGUUCCUUCCGGUGUAUAAAGUAUUUUGUACUGGGUUUGAAUUGUGUUUUUCUUUUGUUAUACAAAUGUGUGCAAUUUUUGUUUUUGUGUUCAUUUUAUUUUUUUAAUGUAAUUUUGAAUUAAUAUGAGUUCAUGCAUGUGUAUUAUAGAUGUAUAUAUAAACUAGAUUUUUAGCUACUUUACAUUUAAGUAAGCAAGUGUCGGAAACACUAAGUAAUAAAAAAAAUUCAAACAUUUUGAUGUCCAGUCAUAUUUGCAGUGAUGUAAAUUUAAUUUUAUAAAACACUUCAGAAAUUCUAUGUAAAUUAAAAGUUUUUAAAGUUUAAAGCAAUAUGAUUAUAUAAUAGAUUGUGUGGCUUCCUCGAUCUAUAUGUUAUUCAUGACUCUCAGUUUUUGUAAAGAAUGCUGAAUGCAAUAAUAAAAUCUUCUGGCAGAUCAUGCUAAGACAAAAGAGGAGAACCAAUUAUAUUUUAAAGGAUUGCACUCUUGUAUCACUAAUUGAAUGCUGAAGAAGACAAAACUGAAAUUUAAACAUUAAAGUUUAAAAAGCAAAAAUAAAAAUGUAUUUAAAACUGACAAAGUAUUUCCAUUUUGAAGUGCCUUUCGUUACUGCUGUGUUAAUAAAAAUGAGAACUGAGUAUGUGUUUUAAAAUGCUGCUGUCAGAUGUGAUAUUUCCGGAAAGCAUUUUUGUAUUGUGGUUAUUAUCUUGUGCUUUUUUAAAAGAUGGAAGUUUAUUAUUGGUUAUCCUUGUAAUUGUUUUUUAGUAUGUUUUAAAAACAGGAAUAGGUUUUUAAUAAAUAUUUUUUAAACUUUUUUGGUACUAAUUUGGUAAUGCUUUUAAGAAAUUAACUGUAAUAUAGUUUUAAUAAUUUAAGAAUGUACAUAUCAAAUAAUUUCUUUUAUAAUCUAAAAGAAUUAGAGAUAUUUACUGUAGGUAAGACUAAAUGCAUUAAUUGUUAGAACAGUGUGAAAUUUUCUAAAUUGUUAUGGAAUUUAAUACAUUUAUACCUGUAAUAUAUUUCUUUACAAGAUAAUAUUGCAUAUUUUUUAUUUUAUUGAUUUAGAUAGAAUCUUUAGCAUAUUAAGUAGUGUCCUAAUAGCUAUGUUACCGUGAUAACUUUUAAAGUAUCUGCUUCAUGGCAAUAAAUUUACAUGCAUACCAUAUGAGGUUGCAUACAGGCUGUAGGAAAAGUGCUUAAUACAUAUAAUUGCAUGAGCUACUGUGCACACAAAAAAGGGGGAUGGAACAAAUAUUUAACAUUUAUAUGUAUACAUGUGCCAGAAAACAGUAUGUUCCUCAAACUGAAAAGCAAUAAAUUCACCAAGCUUCCUUAUGCACUUGCUACUUCACAGUUUUUGUAGCAUAUAUGUUGGCCACUGGUUGGAGCAUUAACCUCGUGUAGGUAUAGUAAAUUUCUUUUGACAUGUGGUCUAUACUUCCUGGGAAAAGGCUCUCAGUUGUUCUUGUAAUUUUCACCUUUGCAUAUCAUUUUUGAGGACCUUCCUACAAUUCUGGCAGUAAAUUGGGUCAAAAUACAGUCUAAAUCUCGGUAAGUUCGGUCCAGCAGUAAUUGGGUCUGGCAGUAAAUUGGAUCAAAAUGCAAACUUAGUUUGCCAUGUAUUGAUAGAGCAGGCAGAAUGUUGCUUAGUAAGGUUUUAAUGGAAAAGUAAAUCUCCCUAUGGAUGAAAGCCUCUAGAUGUGACUAGGCUUUUGCUUAUGAUUGUAUCAAAAAUUAUUCACAUCAUGUAAUCUGUCACUAGUCAUUCACCUGAGGUACAAGUUGCUGUAUGUGUUUGCUCCACAUUCUUGCAGUUUUUGUGAAAGUUGGUGCUAAGUCUAAAACUUAUCACAAGACGAAUUCAAGAUAAAAUAUACUGGAGAAACCAGCUUUCAUGUUGUGUCUGAGGAAAUUUCUGACAGAAACUAAUCAAUAUUAUAUCCUGAAGCAUUUUUCUAUCUUGUUUGCAUAUUAACAAAAAUUUGAAUAUAAAUGUGAACAAAAGUUCUUUUGUUGGUAAAUAAGCUUAUGUUUGUGCAUGAGAGUUUGUAGAGGAAUAAUUCAGGCAUGCUUUAAGAUAUCUGGUAUAGUAUUUAAAUUGAUUUUCAUUCUAAAUCAUAAACCAAGCAAAACACUAUUCAUUAUACAGCUUUUCUAUAAAUAUAUAUAAAUUCACAUUUGCUGAUCAUUUAUAAUAACCGCAUAUAAAAUGAAAGUAAAUUUAUUGUCAUAGGCAAGAUAUGUGAAAAAGUCUUCCUUAAAAGAAUUUAAUGCUUUUUUAGUUAUUUUCUAAAAUAUGUAUUUGAAAAUCCAAAGAUUUGUAAUUUGAAACUCAGUUAAUCAUUUAAGUAUUUUAUUUUUAUCUAUACUAGUCAAGAUUAUUUUACAUAGUAUAUUCUAGUCUCAGUUUAUUGCACUAGUUAGUGGUUAUGUUCUGCAUUAUAUUAGCUUUAAAAAUGGCUUGUUUGAAAAGUGUAGUUUAUAGAAAUGAGAUAUAUAGAAAUAUGUUAGAAUCAUAUCAGAUUAUUUUGUACUGUGUACUACAGUAUCUUUUUACUUUUUAAUUUAAAAAGCAAAGUAUGAAUGAUUGAUCUCUCUCUUGUUCAUUCCUUUUUUGCAUAUAUAUUAUGAACAUUUUCCCCAUUAUGUUCUUUUUCUCUAAAACCAAAGUGACUUACUUCUGAAAAUGUCAUUUACAAAGUGUUGUAAUGAGCCUUUAUACUUUCUGUAUGAAUUCUAUGUUGGUUGAAUUUACAGAUUAACUCUCUGCUUUACAUUGACUGACUUGAAAUGUAAUUUUUCUUUCAUAGAUGAAUCCUAAGUUUUAUAUGUUAAAGUAAAUAUUUUUACGUAUGUAAAUUAUUUUUCAAAUAUAGUCUCCUGAAAUGUUAAAAUAUAGUCAUUUUAAUUUAUAAUUAAUUUUAUAUUAUCACAUGUGAUUGUAUUAGUUGAAGUGCUGAGUUAUAUAUUAUUAUUAAGAUAACAAAUUUGUAAUUUUCUUACCUUGAAACAAAGAUUUUUGUCAUUUAUUCUUGAAAAAUAAAGUACAUUGAAACUUAA
rnacentral:lncRNA from 1 species